GACUGGUAUUGACCAUACACGGAUACAUCCCCAGUUUCUCUCAUAAGAACUAGGAAUUGAAGCUCACUAUUCUCAUACAAUACAAUGCUAGGAAGGCGUUACUUCCUUCCUAUUGUGUUGUUUCUGGUGAUUCAGCUGAUCCUGAUAAGCAUCAUCAGCCAGGCUAAGGAGGAUUGGCCGGCCCCGGCUGGUUGUGGCUGGGGAGAUUAUACACCUCCUUGCGGACCAAUAGUGCGGAGCCCGCCGUGCCAUCAUCCGCAAUGUCAUUAGCAGUUUGUGCAAGGUUCAGUAUAAAUGAAUCGCUGAUCGGCAUAAAUAAACUGGACCUUCUCCACAUCAAUUGAGGAUAUAUUCAGUGUAUGCAUCCGAGUAUCUAUAUAUUGAAGGCUUACUACAAUAAUCCUGUACUGGCUAGUUUGUAUUUUGAAAGAUGAAUUAUAUCAAUAUUAUAUCGCGUCAAAUA